rnacentral:rRNA from 1 species
AUACGGAGGGUCCAAGCGUUAUCCGGAAUCAUUGGGUUUAAAGGGUGCGCAGGCGGUUUAUUAAGUCAGUGGUGAAAUCUCGGGGCUCAACUCCGAAACUGCCAUUGAUACUGAUAAACUUGAGUUCAGUUGGAGUAGGCGGAAUGUGUAGUGUAGCGGUGAAAUGCUUAGAUAUUACACAGAACACCGAUAGCGAAGGCAGCUUACUAAACUGAUACUGACGCUGUGGCACGAAAGCGUGGGAGCGAACAGGAUUAGAAACCCCAGUAGUCC